rnacentral:lncRNA from 1 species
AAUUCUAGCAAUACAAUCAGACUAGAAUAGAAAAAUAAACAUCAGCCUAAAUGAUAAACCCUGUAAGGCUUGUCAUUACGACAUUGCCACAUGAUAAAGUUCCUAGCAAAACAGUGAUCCAAUAAAACCUAAUUUCCAAUAUCUCAAAGAGAGAGAAUAAUGAGCCAGAUUCGUUUCACAUAUUGAAAUUUUGCAGGCAGCGCAAUUUUGUUUAGUAAAAAUAGAAUUUGCAGUAAAACAUGUUAUCUUAAUUUUUGUAACAAUUUUUAUUUCAGAUGCCACAACUA